AGAGGUUACUGCUAUCGGAGUUCGAUUAAGCCAUGCGAGUCUAAAGGUUUCUUCGGAAACCUUGGCGGACUGCUCAGUAACACGUGGAUAACCUACCCUUGGGACUGGAAUAACCCCGGGAAACUGGGGAUAAUACCGGAUAGAUCAGGGAUGCUGGAAUGCGCCUUGAUCUAAAGCUCCGGCGCCCAAGGAUGGGUCUGCGGCCUAUCAGGUAGUAGUGGGUGUAAUGUACCUACUAGCCAACGACGGGUACGGGUUGUGAGAGCAAGAGCCCGGAGAUGGAUUCUGAGACACGAAUCCAGGCCCUACGGGGUGCAGCAGGCGCGAAACCUUUACAAUGUGCGAAAGCAUGAUAAGGGAACUCCGAGUGCCAGUAUCUAAUACUGGCUGUCCUUGUGCCUAAAACGCACAAGAUAGCAAGGGCCGGGUAAGACCGGUGCCAGCCGCCGCGGUAACACCGGCGGCCCGAGUGGUAGCCGCUAUUAUUGGGUCUAAAGGGUCCGUAGCCGGUUCGAUAAGUCCUCUGGGAAAUCUGGUUGCUUAACAAUCAGACUGCCAAGGGAUACUGUCGAACUUGAGACCGGGAGAGGUAAGAGGUACUUCAGGGGUAGGAGUGAAAUCUUGUAAUCCCUGGGGGACCAUCUGUGGCGAAGGCGUCUUACCAGAACGGGUCUGACGGUGAGGGACGAAAGCUGGGGGCGCAAACCGGAUUAGAUACCCGGGUAGUCCCAGCCGUAAACGAUGCUCGCUAGGUGUCAGACACGGUGCGACCGUGUUUGGUGCCGCAGGGAAGCCGUUAAGCGAGCCACCUGGGAAGUACGGUCGCAAGGCUGAAACUUAAAGGAAUUGGCGGGGGAGCACUACAACGGGUGGAGCCUGCGGUUU
rnacentral:rRNA from 1 species